AAACUUAAAUGAAUUGAGGGACCCCGCACAAGCAGCGGAGCGUGUGGUUUAAUUCGAUGAUACACGAAGAACCUUACCCAGGCUUGACAUGUACGGAACCCUUUAGAGAUAGAGGGGUGCUCGAAAGAGAGCCGUAACACAGGUGCUGCAUGGCUGUCGUCAGCUCGUGUCGUGAGAUGUUGGGUUAAGUCCCGCAACGAGCGCAACCCUUGUCAUUAGUUGCUACAUUCAGUUGGGCACUCUAAUGAGACUGCCGGUGACAAGCCGGAGGAAGGUGGGGAUGACGUCAAGUCCUCAUGGCCCUUAUAGGUGGGGCUACACACGUCAUACAAUGGCUGGUACAAAGGGUUGCCAACCCGCGAGGGGGAGCCAAUCCCAUAAAGCCAGUCGUAGUCCGGAUCGUAGUCUGUAACUCGACUACGUGAAGUCGGAAUCGCUAGUAAUCGUGGAUCAGAAUGUCACGGUGAAUACGUUCCCGGGUCUU
rnacentral:rRNA from 1 species